rnacentral:rRNA from 1 species
GACGAACGCUGGCGGCGUGCUUAACACAUGCAAGUCGAACGGAAAGACCCUGCUUUUGUGGGGUGCUCGAGUGGCGAACGGGUGAGUAAAACGCGAGUAACCUCUCCUUGACUUUGGGGUAACUUCAGGAAACAGGGGCGAAUACCGGAGAGGAGAUCCUGCUGCGUGGGGGGGGUUGGUAAGUUUCGGCGGUGUGGUCUGGUCUCGAGGGUUAUCAGCUUGUUGGUCGGGUAGGGGAUUACCAAGGGUUUGACGGGUAGCCGGCCUUGGAGGUGGACCGGCGUCCUUGCGCCUGCGAGAGGGCGCAGUAUCCUACGUGAGGCAGAAGGGGGGAACAUUGCACAGUGGGGGGAAGCGUGAUGCAGCGACGCCGCGUGCGUGAUAACGGCCUUCGGGUUGUAAACCGCUUUCGCCUGUAACGAAGCGUGCGUGACGGUAAUGGGUAAAGAAGCACCGGCUAACUACGUG